AUUGAACGCUGGCGGCAUGCUUUACACAUGCAAGUCGAACGGCAGCGCGGGCUUCGGCCUGGCGGCGAGUGGCGAACGGGUGAGUAAUACAUCGGAACGUGUCCAGUAGUGGGGGAUAGCUCGGCGAAAGCCGGAUUAAUACCGCAUACGACCUGAGGGUGAAAGCGGGGGAUCUUCGGACCUCGCGCUAUUGGAGCGGCCGAUGGCAGAUUAGCUAGUUGGUGGGGUAAAGGCCUACCAAGGCGACGAUCUGUAGCUGGUCUGAGAGGACGACCAGCCACACUGGGACUGAGACACGGCCCAGACUCCUACGGAAGGCAGCAGUGGGGAAUUUUGGACAAUGGGCGAAAGCCUGAUCCAGCAAUGCCGCGUGUGUGAUGAAGGCCUUCGGGUUGUAAAGCACUUUUGGCGGGAACGAAAAGGACUGUGCCAAUACCACGGUUCGAUGACGGUACCCGCAGAAUAAGCACCGGCUAACUACGUG
rnacentral:rRNA from 1 species